UACGGGGGGGGCGAGCGUUGUUCGGAAUUACUGGGCGUAAAGGGUUUGUAGGUGGCCUGCUAAGUCAGACGUGAAAUCCCUCAGCUUAACUGGGGAACUGCGUCUGAUACUGGCGGGCUUGAGGACAGGAGAGGAACGCGGAAUUCCAGGUGUAGCGGUGAAAUGCGUAGAUAUCUGGAGGAACACCGGUGGCGAAGGCGGCGUUCUGGACUGUUUCUGACAUUGAAAAACGAAAGCCAGGGGAGCAAACGGG
rnacentral:rRNA from 1 species